rnacentral:tRNA from 1 species
GGCGUUGUGGCUCCAUGGUAGAGCUCUUGCCUUGCAUGCAUGAGUCACUGGGUUCAAUUCUCAGCACCA